ensembl:lncRNA
CAACAGCAUGGCAGCAUUAGGACUCCUAUGGCUUGUGAGCUCCAUAGCAUCCAUCCUUGUCAAAUGUGAAGAUGCAACAUCUGAACACAACAAGAUCUACCCAGCAAAGAUAUUUGGACCAUCUAGAAUCACUGAAGGGGUAGACAUCCAUUUUAAAUGUAGCACUACUGGUAUCAGAGGACCUGAGGACAAGUUAAAUUUUUACCUUUGCAAGAAUGGAGUUGGGAUAAGAAUUGCGCUGCAGGAGAAAGGUGAAGAUGAUGCUAUUUUCGACAUGAAGAAUGUCACACGAGAAGACUCAGGCAACUACAGCUGUGUGUACACCAGAGAUAAACUUGUACCCAGUCACUUGAGGUCAACAGGGGAUAAUUUAGUAGUCUUUCAGGUUGAUGGAGAACAGAAAGAGGGACUAAAGAAUAUGGGAGGACAAGGGAGAGCGGGACUGGCAGCAACCUUGGUCCUCCUGUUUCUGACGCUGUCUGUACUGCUGUUAGUGUGGAGGUACUGGGGAAUCCUGAAACAAAUGAUAAGUAUUGACCAUCAACCAAGUGAGAAUCAGGAUACGGAUCAAACAUACAGUCUAAUCUCAGUUGUACCAGGGCUGGAAUCGUCAGGGAGACUACGAAAGAAUCCUGAGCCCUUGGGUUCACAAGGUGUGUCAGGCAUGGGAUCGCUGGUUCAUCACUCUCCAACUGAUCCUACAGGAGAUGAGACUCUGUACAGCGUAAUAACUAGAG